rnacentral:rRNA from 1 species
GGCGGCGUGGAUAAGACAUGCAAGUCGAGCGAGAUUUUUUCUUGUAGCAAUACAGGGAAAAGUCUAGCGGCGAACGGGUGCUUAACACGUGGGCAACCUGCCAAGAAAUGGGGGAUAGCUCGCCGAAAGGCGAAUUAAUACCGCAUGUGAUCAGAGUGGACAUCCAUUCGAAAUCAAAGUCGGGGCAACCUGACGUUUCUUGAGGGGCCCGCGGCCUAUCAGCUAGUUGGUGAGGUAACGGCCCACCAAGGCUUAGACGGGUAGCUGGUCUGAGAGGACGACCAGCCACACUGGGACUGAGACACGGUCCAGACACCUACGGGUGGCAGCAGUUGAGAAUUUUUCUCAAUGGGGGCAACCCUGAAGGAGCGACGCCGCGUGGAGGAUGAAGGCUUUCGGGUUGUAAACUCCCGUCAUUUGGGAACAAGUGGCCGAACUUAACUGCUUCGGCCUUGAUAGUACCAGAAGAAGAAGGGACGGCUAACUCUGUGCCAGCAGCCGCGGUAAUACAGAAGUCCCAAGCGUUGUUCGG